rnacentral:rRNA from 1 species
UACGGAGGGGGCUAGCGUUGUUCGGAAUUACUGGGCGUAAAGCGCACGUAGGCGGCUUUGUAAGUUAGAGGUGAAAGCCCAGGGCUUAACCCUGGAAUUGCCUUUAAGACUGCAUCGCUAGAAUCGUGGAGAGGUGAGUGGAAUUCCGAGUGUAGAGGUGAAAUUCGUAGAUAUUCGGAAGAACACCAGUGGCGAAGGCGGCCAACUGGACGGUGACUGACGCUGAGACGCGAAAGCGUGGGGAGCAAACAGG